AAAAAGGAGAGAGGCCUAGGUGACAGGACCCCGAGUUGGAGAGAAAGACACACAGAGGGGUGAGUCAGAGGAAAGCUACAGAAGGGUGUGCUGGGGACAGGCGUCAAGAGGUGAGGCUGCCUCAGGGAGAGGAAGCACGGGAGGAGACCUGGCCCAGGAGAGUUUCAGAGGCUCCUCCCAGCAGCGUGCAGUAGUACCUCCUCCCCCAAGAAAUCAGGAUUGUGCAGGAAACACUCUCCUACUUCUCAGUGGCCACUGGAGAGCUCUGAACCCAGCCCAGGGUCAACUGCCCGGCACUGUCAGGCAGUUCCUCUGACUCCACAGCACAUUCUAAUUGCAGUCACUCCUGCAAGUGCUCAGAGGACACCCAACCCUAUGAUCUCAGCCAACUCAUGAAGUUUGAUUUCACAACUUAGUGAUGUCUUCCCAGUGGAAUCCUAAAUGAUAAGGAAAAUGGUAUAGAGCCAAGACUUGAACAUUAACAACCCAGGAGCACAGAAACAGCACAGUUAGCUGAGAGGCGUUAUGGAGAGAAGCAACCGAAUGCACACUGAGCGCUGUGAGAAGUCCACGACAGUGGGGAACAGCGCCCACCGUCACAAAAAGAAAGACCCUCGGCAGGUACUUUAGAGUCACGUUCAUGCUGUAAUAUGUGGGGAAGAAAGACUAUUCCAAAUGGAUCUGGCUUUUUAAAACAAGGGAAUUUUCCUUGCUCUUGGGAACCAGCAAAAUCCAGCUGCUCAUUGAACUGCCUGUCUGGAAUCUCACAAAUUUGCACCUUGAAGUUGUUAAUAAAGGACUAAGUUGAUAAUUCGAACAAACCCUG
rnacentral:lncRNA from 1 species